rnacentral:rRNA from 1 species
CUGCCUACGGGGGGCAGCAGUGGGGAAUAUUGCACAAUGGGCGAAAGCCUGAUGCAGCAACGCCGCGUGAACGAAGAAGGCUCUUGGGUCGUAAAGUUCUGUUCUGAGGGAAGAAGAAAGUGACGGUACCUCAGGAGAAGGCCCCGGCUAACUACGUGCCAGCAGCCGCGGUAAUACGGAGGAUGCGAGCGUUAUCCGGAUUUAUUGGGUUUAAAGGGCGCGCAGGCGGAAUGUCAAGUCAGCGGUAAAAUUUCGGGGCUCAACCCCGUCGUGCCGUUGAAACUGGCGUUCUUGAGUGAGCGAGA